rnacentral:piRNA from 1 species
UGGUGAUGGAAUCUCAGUUGUGAG